rnacentral:rRNA from 1 species
AUUCUCUUCGGAGAUAGUAAGGUGGCGGACGGGUGAGUAACACGUAAAGAACUUGCCCUGCAGUCUGGGACAACUAUUGGAAACGAUAGCUAAUACCGGAUAUUAUGCGAGAGCCGCAUGGCUCUUUCAUGAAAGCUGUAUGCGCUGCAAGAGAGCUUUGCGUCCCAUUAGUUAGUUGGUGAGGUAACGGCUCACCAAGACCGCGAUGGGUAGCCGGCCUGAGAGGGUGAACGGCCACAAGGGGACUGAGACACGGCCCUUACUCCUACGGGAGGCGGCAGUGGGGAAUAUUGGACAAUGGACCAAAAGUCUGAUCCAGCAAUUCUGUGUGCACGAUGACGGUCUUAGGAUUGUAAAGUGCUUUCAAUCGGGAAAAAGAAAGUGAUGGUACCGAUAGAAGAAGCGACGGCUAAAUACGUGCCAGCAGCC